ACAUACGACCAUAGGCACUUGAGAAAACUCGGGAUCCCGUCCGCUCUCCGAUCGAUAAGCCAGUGACCGCCAGGCCAGUAGUCGGCUCGGUGACGACCGGCGAAUCACCUGGUGUUGUAUGUU
rfam:Neurospora tetrasperma FGSC 2509 unplaced genomic scaffold NETTE2scaffold_2, whole genome shotgun sequence.